GCCCUUCUCAAGUCCCAAUAACUGACAAAUAUACAGCAAGCCUUAGCACAGUUAUAUAUUGUGCACUCAUCACUUCUCUCUCUCUACUUUCAUCAAUAAUGGCUCAAUUGGUGAUCACCAAGAACUCCUCUCAAACGCUGCUCCACUUGAUGAAGCGGACAGCUACGUAAGUAAUUCAUUUGGAGGAAUUGACAUCUGGAAACCCAGAAGCAGAAGCGGAAGCGGAAGCGGAAGCCCUCCUUCUGAGAUCAAUGUUAUUUAUUUCAAGGCAGCUGCGCUUCAGAAAUCGUCGACAACUCUUGCAAGCUCUCCUUCUCGGAGCAACAUGAGUGUUCCAGAGCAGCCCAAAUCCAUAAUUUACUAUCUUCAGGCUGAUCUUCUUCUCAACAAGGCACAGAAACCGUCGAAAAAUAGAGGCUCCACUCCUCAGACCGACGCUAAUCCCAAAAGUACUACCAAACCCAAGAAUUUGCCAACUAGAGAAAUUGGCAGCAAAGAGUCUCAUCAGCAGAUCGACAUGGUUCCCAAGGAUACACCAACGCAGAGAUAAUAUCCUCACACCAGCUAGCUAGCGAUAAAGUCGAUGCUCCCAACUUAAUUAACAUGCAUCCAUGCAUCUAGGGCGAAGGGAAUUUGUCUGAUCAGACCACCGAUCUCAUUCUCAUCUACUACGUAUCUCUUGCUUAAUUAUAUUAUCUAGCUUAAUUUCUGUCUACUUAUUUGGUGCUUUACCUCUUCAACUUAAUUUCCACUAUCUGUAUUAAGACAACUCUACUUCUGGGCUGUAGCUAGCUAGAUACUGUGUUUGUGUGUCUGUAUUUGUUAGUUGUUACUGCAUGCAUGCAUGCAGGCUUAAUUAAUUACUGCUAUAUAAAGAAAUUAAGCGCCAUCUCUUUUACUA